CAGUCGCCGCGGUAAUACGAAGGGUGCAAGCGUUAAUCGGAAUUACUGGGCGUAAAGCGUGCGUAGGCGGUUUGUUAAGUCUGCUGUGAAAUCCCCGGGCUCAACCUGGGAAUGGCAGUGGAUACUGGCAAGCUAGAGUGUGUCAGAGGAUGGUGGAAUUCCCGGUGUAGCGGUGAAAUGCGUAGAGAUCGGGAGGAACAUCAGUGGCGAAGGCGGCCAUCUGGGACAACACUGACGCUGAGGCACGAAAGCGUGGGGAGCAAACAGGAUUAGAUACCCCAGUAGUCCCUGUCUUUAUACA
rnacentral:rRNA from 1 species